rnacentral:rRNA from 1 species
GCUGGCGGCGUGCCUAUACAUGCAGUCGCAGCGGACAGAUGGGAGCUUGCUCCCUGAUGUUAGCGGCGGACGGGUGAGUAACACGUGGGUAACCUGCCUGUAAGACUGGGAUAACUCCGGGAAACCGGGGCUAAUACCGGAUGGUUGUUUGAACCGCAUGGUUCAAACAUAAAAGGUGGCUUCGGCUACCACUUACAGAUGGACCCGCGGCGCAUUAGCUAGUUGGUGAGGUAACGGCUCACCAAGGCAACGAUGCGUAGCCGACCUGAGAGGGUGAUCGGCCACACUGGGACUGAGACACGGCCCAGACUCCUACGGGAGGCAGCAGUAGGGAAUCUUCCGCAAUGGACGAAAGUCUGACGGAGCAACGCCGCGUGAGUGAUGAAGGUUUUCGGAUCGUAAAGCUCUGUUGUUAGGGAAGAACAAGUACCGUUCGAAUAGGGCGGUACUUGGACCGGUACUUAACCAAAGCCCACGGUUAAUUAGUGCCAGCAGCGGGGAAUACGUAGGGGAAAACUUUUUCCGAAUUAUUGGGGUAAAGGCUCCCAGCGUUCUUUAAUCUAAUGAAAAACCCCCGCCCACCGGGAGU